rnacentral:rRNA from 1 species
UACGAAGGGGGCUAGCGUUGCUCGGAAUUACUGGGCGUAAAGCGCACGUAGGCGGCUUUCUAAGUCGGGGGUGAAAUCCUGGAGCUCAACUCCAGAACUGCCUUCGAUACUGGAAAGCUCGAGUCCGGGAGAGGUGAGUGGAACUGCGAGUGUAGAGGUGAAUUCGUAGAUAUUCGCAAGAACACCAGUGGCGAAGGCGGCUCACUGGCCCGGUACUGACGCUGAGGUGCGAAAGCGUGGGGAGCAAACAGG